GGUAGUGACCUCAUUCGUUUUUUAUGUAACAAGGUGGAGAAGGACGGAUACUUAAGCUGAGCAAUGCUCAUCAACUAUUUAACAACAAUGACCACGGCAGACUGGAACCUUGGAUUCUUACCAUAUAACAUUUUGCAGUAAAACCAAGUAUGGACCCCAGGGUGCUUAUUUGCCUCCUCUUCUCAG
rnacentral:lncRNA from 1 species